rnacentral:rRNA from 1 species
UACGUAGGGUCCGAGCGUUGUCCGGAAUUACUGGGCGUAAAGAGCUCGUAGGUGGUUUGUCGCGUUGUUCGUGAAAACUCACAGCUUAACUGUGGGCGUGCGGGCGAUACGGGCAGACUGGAGUACUGCAGGGGAGACUGGAAUUCCUGGUGUAGCGGUGGAAUGCGCAGAUAUCAGGAGGAACACCGGUGGCGAAGGCGGGGUCUCUGGGCAGUAACUGACGCUGAGGAGCGAAAGCGUGGGGAGCGAACAGG